UACGUAGGUGGCAAGCGAUACUCGGAAUCACUAGGCGUAAAGCGCAGGUAGGCGGUUUGGUAAGUCUUUUGUGAAAGCUCCCGGCUCAACUGGGAGAGGUCAAGGGAAACUACCGGACUAGAGUGUGGUAGGGGAUACUGGAAUUCCUGGUGUAGCGGUGAAAUGCGUAGAUAUCAGGAGGAACACCGGUGGCGAAGGCGGGUCUCUGGGCCGUAACUGACGCUGAGGAGCGAAAGCGUGGGGAGCGAACAGG
rnacentral:rRNA from 1 species